rnacentral:rRNA from 1 species
AACCUAGAUGUAAUAUUACAUAUACAUCCGCCCGGGUACUACGAGCACAGCUUAAAACCCAAAGGACUUGGCGGUGUCUCAGACCCACCUAGAGGAGCCUGUUCUAGAACCGAUAACCCCCGUUAAACCUCACCACUUCUUGUUUUCCCCGCCUAUAUACCGCCGUCGCCAGCUUACCCUGUGAAGGCCUAGCAGUAAGCAAAAUGGGCUCGCCCAAAAACGUCAGGUCGAGGUGUAGCGCACGAAGUGGGAAGAAAUGGGCUACAUUUUCUACAGCAGAAUAUUACGAACGGCACCCUGAAACAAGUGCCCGAAGGUGGAUUUAGUAGUAAAAAGCAAAUAGAGAGUCCUUUUGAAUUAGGCUCUGAGACGCGCACACACCGCCCGUCACUCUCCCCUCAUACAUUAAACUCAAACCCGACAUUCCUAAUCAAACAUUUCCUAGCACGGGGAGGCAAGUCGUAACAUGGUAAGUGUACCGGAAGGUGCACUUGGAAUAAUCAG